UAAGCGGAGGAAGAUUCCGUAGGCGCGGAUGAGGAUAUACAUACCAAUAAGCAGAGCAAAUCUCUCAGAGAUCCGGCAUCGAUGUUUCAACGCAGCGAAAUGCGACCAGUAGUGUGAAUUGCAGAAUUCAGUGUUGCAUCGAAUCUUGGAACGCACAUUGCGCCCCUUGGAAUUCCAUGCGGCAUGCCUGUGCGAGCGUCAUUUGUACCUUCAAGCUCUGCUUGCUGUAGGCUGUUUGUCGCGCCUGUGCGUGUAGACUCGCCUUAAAACAAUUGGCAGCCGGCGUAUUGAUUUCGGAGCGCAGUACAUCUCGCGCUUUGCACUCAUAACGACGACGUCCAAAAAGUACUUUUUACACUCUUGACCUCGAAUCAGGUAGGGAUACCCGCUGAACUUAAGCAUAUCACUAGACGGAGAAA
rnacentral:rRNA from 1 species